GGUGGUUCUCAGGUGACACACCCCGGAAUCAGGCUCCCUCCUCUCUGGUUCUGGGUUGUGUCAACCGAGAACCACU
rfam:Myotis brandtii contig266906, whole genome shotgun sequence.